AUUGAACGCUGGCGGCAUGCCUUACACAUGCAAGUCGAACGGCAGCACGGGAGCAAUCCUGGUGGCGAGUGGCGAACGGGUGAGUAAUAUAUCGGAACGUGCCCGGUCGUGGGGAUAACGUAGCGAAAGCUACGCUAAUACCGCAUACGAUCUACGGAUGAAAGCGGGGGAUCGCAAGACCUCGCGCGAUUGGAGCGGCCGAUAUCAGAUUAGGUAGUUGGUGAGGUAAAGGCUCACCAAGCCGACGAUCUGUAGCUGGUCUGAGAGGACGACCAGCCACACUGGGACUGAGACACGGCCCAGACUCCUACGGGAGGCAGCAGUGGGGAAUCUUAGACAAUGGGGGAAACCCUGAUCUAGCCAUGCCGCGUGAUCGAUGAAGGCCUUAGGGUUGUAAAGAUCUUUCAGUGGGGAAGAUAAUGACGGUACCCACAGAAGAAGCCCCGGCUAACUCCGUGCCAGCAGCCG
rnacentral:rRNA from 1 species